UAAUAAGUGUUUUAUGGCACUUUUUAAAUCCAUAUCCACCUUGUGUGCAAUGUCAGUCGAUCUUCUUCAUGGAGAUCGACCAAACAUCAACCUUUAUCUUUUAACUCUUUGUCUGAAAAUAUUAUGAAUAAACAAUUCAAAAUA
rnacentral:misc_RNA from 1 species